rnacentral:tRNA from 1 species
GGGGUUGUGGCUUAGUGGUGGAGCACUUGCCUAGCCUGUGCAAGAUCCUGGAUUCAAUCCUUAGCAACCCCC